UAAAAUUAAAAAAUUUGGCGGUAUUUUAGUCUUUUCAGAGGAACCUGUCCUGUAAUUGAUAGUCCACGAUAAAAUGAACUUAUUCUAUAAAUUUAUAUAUCGUCGUAGUUUGAAUAUUUUAGAAGAAUUUUAAUAUUCAAGAUUUAAUAUAAUAAAAGAAAUCAGAUCAAGGUGUAGUUUAUGGAUAAGGAGAGAUGGGUUACAAUUUAAAUAUAAUUGGAUAUUAAUAUGUAAUUAUUAAUUGAAAUUGGAUUUGAAAGUAAUUUUUUAUAUUUAUUAAAAAUGAUUUUGGCUCUAAAAUAUGUACAUAUUGCCCGUCGCUUUUGUUUUUAAAAUGAAAUAAGUCGUAACAAAGUAGAUUUACUGGAAAGUGAAUCUAGAAAA
rnacentral:rRNA from 1 species